UGGGGAAUAUUGGACAAUGGGCGCAAGCCUGAUCCAGCCAUGCCGCGUGAGUGAUGAAGGCCCUAGGGUUGUAAAGCUCUUUCACCGGUGAAGAUAAUGACGGUAACCGGAGAAGAAGCCCCGGCUAACUUCGUGCCAGCAGCCGCGGUAAUACGAAGGGGGCUAGCGUUGUUCGGAUUUACUGGGCGUAAAGCGCACGUAGGCGGACUAUUAAGUCAGGGGUGAAAUCCCCGGGCUCAACCCCGGAACUGCCUUUGAUACUGGUAGCCUUGAGUUCGAGAGAGGUGGGUGGAAUUCCGAGUGUAGAGGUGAAAUUCGUAGAUAUUCGGAGGAACACCAGUGGCGAAGGCGGCUCACUGGCUCGAUACUGACGCUGAGGUGCGAAAGCGGGGGGAGCAAACAGG
rnacentral:rRNA from 1 species